GGAGGAAGCAGUGCCCUCCCCGCGCCGAUCUCAAACUGCCUCGAGCCCCCGCCCUUCUAGAUUUCUGGAACCUUCCGCAAGCCGGGGCGCGCCACCGGAUGAGGAACGGAGAAAGGGGGAGGGGAACGGGGACACACAUUGCAAACUCGCAGCGACACGAGGGAAGGCCGCCACUGUGCCCGCCGCGGGAGCCAGCCUCGACCUCCCCCACCCCAAGCGCCACUGCACUCCGCCCUUCCCGGUCGGCUCACCUGGAUGACCUUCCCCUACAGACUCUGAAGUGAAAAGGAAUGUCCCCUCCUCGAUGAACGCCUCAUGGAAGCCGUUGAGCUGCCCGUUCAUGGCUGCAGCGAUGAGAGAAGGCGACUCUGGGGAGACGGAGCGGCAACGAGGCAGAGGACUGCGGAGGGCGCAGAUGCAGGAGGGUCGCUUCAACUCUCAGCAGGCUGGAGUCUCGGAGCGAAUGAAGCGGCGGGCGAAGCGGCCCAGUAUUUAUAGAGCAGCUCCCGCGCGCGCCCGGCUCGGGCCCCGCCCCUCGACGUCGCGCGCCAAUGCGCCACGGGCAGGCGGAUGGGGGUUGGCAGGGUGGUGCGCGGAGAGGAGCUCGGGCUGGACCAUUCUAUCGACGGGGGGAGCGAUCAGAACUAACCGUGCCCCCUGACAGUAGUUAGUCAUCCUGAUGGCGUGGGUUAAAUGGAGAUGUGAGUGAGUGAGUAGACUUGGCUUUUACGCCCCUUCCCACGUCUGUUGCUGGAGAAGAGACAAUUUGGAUUUGAAGGGCGGUCUCCCUUAUACGAUGAUAUGGUACGUCCCUUCCGACCGUUGCCCACGGAGGUCGGCCGGCGCGCGCGCCCCCCAGCGGCGGCCG
rnacentral:lncRNA from 1 species